CCUACGGGUGGCAGCAGUGAGGAAUAUUGGUCAAUGGGCGCGAGCCUGAACCAGCCAAGUCGCGUGAGGGAAGACGGUCCUAUGGAUUGUAAACCUCUUUUGUCGGGGAGCAAAAGACGCCACGCGUGGCGUUCCGAGAGUACCCGAAGAAAAAGCAUCGGCUAACUCCGUGCCAGCAGCCGCGGUAAUACGUAGGGAGCGAGCGUUGUCCGGAAUUACUGGGUGAAAAGGGAGCGUAGGCGGGACUGCAAGUUGGGUGUCAAAUCAACCGGCUCAACCGGUAGCCGCACUCAAAACUGCAGUUCUUGAGUGAAGUAGAGGCAGGCGGAAUUCCUAGUGUAGCGGUGAAAUGCGUAGAUAUUAGGAGGAACACCAGUGGCGAAGGCGGCCUGCUGGGCUUUUACUGACGCUGAGGCUCGAAAGUGUGGGGAGCAAACAGGAUUAGAUACCCUUGUAGUC
rnacentral:rRNA from 1 species